GAAGGGAACACUCCAAACACCAUAACCACUACAGUUUGCUGUAGUGGUUAUGGUGCCAGUAGUGCCCUUUUG